AACUUGUUAUUAUCAGUCUGUUAUUAUCAGCUUGUUAUUAUCAGCUUGUUAUUAUCAGCUUGUUAUUAUCAACUUGUUAUUAUCAGUUUGUUAUUAUCAGCUUGUUAUUAUCAGCUUGUUAUUAUCAGCUUGUUAUUAUCAACUUGUUAUUAUCAGUUUGUUAUUAUCAGCUUGUUAUUAUCAGCUUGUUAUUAUCAGCUUGUUAUUAUCAGCGUGUUAUUAUCAGCGUGUUAUUAUCAGCUUGUUAUUAUCAGCUUGUUAUCAUCUUGUUAUUAUCAGCUUGUUAUUAUCAGCUUGUUAUUAUCAGUUUGUUAUUAUCAGCUUGUUAUUAUCAGCUUGUUAUCAGCUUGUCAUUAUCAGCUUGUUAUUAUCAGCUUGUUAUUAUCAGCUUGUUAUUAUCAGUUUGUUAUUAUCAGCUUGUUAUUAUCACUUUGUUAUUAUCAGCUUGUUAUUAUCAGCUUGUUAUUAUCAGCUUGUUAUUAUCAGCUUGUUAUUAUCAGUUUGUUAUUAUCAGCUUGUUAUUAUCAGCUUGUUAUUAUCAGCUUGUUAUUAUCAGCUUGUUAUUAUCAGUGUGUUAUUAUCAGCGUGUUAUUAUCAGCUUGUUAUUAUCAACUUGUUAUUAUCAGCUUGUUAUUAUCAUCAACUUGUUAUUAUCAACUUGUUAUUAUCAGCUUGUUAUUAUCAGUUUGUUAUUAUCAGCUUGUUAUCAGCUUGUUAUCAGCUUGUUAUUAUCAGCUUGUUAUUAUCAGCUUGUUAUCAGCUUGUUAUUAUCAGCUUGUUAUUAUCAGCUUGUUAUUAUCAACUUGUUAUUAUCAGCUUGUUAUUAUCAGCUUGUUAUUAUCAACUUGUUAUUAUCAGUCUGUUAUUAUCAGCUUGUUAUUAUCAGUCUGUUAUUAUCAGCUUGUUAUUAUCAGUCUGUUAUUAUCAGCUUGUUAUUAUCAGUCUGUUAUUAUCAGCUUGUUAUUAUCAGUCUGUUAUUAUCAGCUUGUUAUUAUCAGUCUGUUAUUAUCAGCUUGUUAUUAUCAGUCUGUUAUUAUCAGCUUGUUAUUAUCAGUCUGUUAUUAUCAGCUUGUUAUUAUCAGUCUGUUAUUAUCAGCUUGUUUGCACUGGCCUUAUCUUUUCUCCCAGAAGAAAAUAAAACACGUGGGUUGCUAAAGAAUCCUCUCUGCUCUCUUUCUAGGAGAGAGAGAAACAGGAAGACUGAGAGACAGAGACAGACUAACACACACUGUGUGUGUGUGUGUUCAUUCCUCUGCUCUGUCCAAGAUGGCGACCCAUACUUCUACAUUGCCUGGUGGUGUGCUCUUGUACAGAUGGUCCCUCCAUGCUGUCAGUUCCCCUUUCCUCUCCGGAUAUUCCCAGCAUUCUACGGCCAGCGGAACGCAGCGCAGAGAGCAGCCGGGAACUCUGGGAACAGGAGCAGGAAGCUAGCACCGAUCCAGUCGUUCCUUGGUUGGGCAAAGCAGAGCAGCGCUUAG
rnacentral:lncRNA from 1 species